rnacentral:rRNA from 1 species
GUCGAGCUUAAGAAAAUCUUUAUAUUAUUAUUUUAAAGAUAAUAAAAUACUUAAUAAAAUAUAUAAAAAUAAAAAAAUCUUUGGUUGGGGCAACCACGAAGAAAAAAAAACCUUCGUUCUUAAAUAAAAAUAAACAAAUUUAAAAUUUUUAAAAAUAAUUUUGACCCAGAAAAUCUGAUUAUAGAAAAAAGUUACCGCAGGGAUAACAGCGUUAUUUUCUUUAAGAGUUCUUAUUGACAAGAAAGUUUGCGACCUCGAUGUUGGACCGGGGUAUCCAAGAGGUGCAAAAGCCUCUAAAGGUAGGUCUGUUCGACCUUUAAAACCCUACGUGAU